rnacentral:rRNA from 1 species
UACGUAGGGUGCAAGCGUUGUCCGGAAUUAUUGGGCGUAAAGAGCUCGUAGGCGGUCUGUCGCGUCGGCUGUGAAAUCCCGAGGCUCAACCUCGGGUCUGCAGUCGAUACGGGCAAACUAGAGUAUUGCAGGGGGAGACUGGAAUUCCUGGUGUAGCGGUGAAAUGCGCAGAUAUCAGGAGGAACACCGGUGGCGAAGGCAGCUCGCUGGGACGGUACUGACGCUGAGACGCGAAAGCGUGGGGGAGCAAACAGG